GGGCGGUUAGCUCAGCGGUAGAGCGCUUCGUUUACAUCGAAGAUGCCGUAGGUUCGAAUCCUUCACCGCCCA
rnacentral:tRNA from 1 species